rnacentral:rRNA from 2 species
GUAACGACUCUCGGCAACGGAUAUCUCGGCUCUCGCAUCGAUGAAGAACGUAGCGAAAUGCGAUACUUGGUGUGAAUUGCAGAAUCCCGUGAACCAUCGAGUCUUUGAACGCAAGUUGCGCCCGAAGCCAUCUGGCCGAGGGCACGUCUGCCUGGGCGUCACG